rnacentral:rRNA from 1 species
ACGUACGGCCAUAGACACUGGAAAGUACGGGAUCCCGUCCGCUCUCCCCUAGUCAAACCAGUGAUCGGCGGCGGAUUAGUAGUUGGGUCGGUGACGACCAACCAGCGAAUCCCCGCUGCUGUACGUU